rnacentral:rRNA from 1 species
CCUACGGGUGGCAGCAGUGGGGAAUAUUGGACAAUGGGCGAAAGCCUGAUCCAGCCAUGCCGCGUGUGUGAAGAAGGCCUUCGGGUUGUAAAGCACUUUCAGUGGGGAAGAAAGCCUUGGGGCUAAUACCCUCGAGGAAGGACAUCACCCACAGAAGAAGCACCGGCUAACUCCGUGCCAGCAGCCGCGGUAAUACGGAGGGUGCGAGCGUUAAUCGGAAUUACUGGGCGUAAAGCGCGCGUAGGCGGUCUGAUAAGCCGGUUGUGAAAGCCCCGGGCUCAACCUGGGAACGGCAUCCGGAACUGUCAGGCUAGAGUGCAGGAGAGGAAGGUAGAAUUCCCGGUGUAGCGGUGAAAUGCGUAGAGAUCGGGAGGAAUACCAGUGGCGAAGGCGGCCUUCUGGACUGACACUGACGCUGAGGUGCGAAAGUGUGGGUAGCAAACAGGAUUAGAUACCCCGGUAGUC